GUUUACAGCUUUGGAAACAUUUUAACAUCUUUUAUAAAAAUGAAUUUAAGUCAUUGUGAUACAUUGGAGAGAUGGAAAAGAAUUAGAUCUCAAUUCCCUUUCUGUUCUUCUCUGGUUACAUAUUUCAAAAAGUGCAUUGUUAUAGUCAUGCCUCUCAAACUAUUUUUAUUUAUCCUGGAAAUGCAAUCACUAUGCCUGUCCCAAAGCUGAUGGCCUAGCUCUGACCUUCUUAGUGGGAGGCAGGCUGUGGUCCAAAGGGGCUGGGAAGAGAGGAUGAAGGAAGGUUAUAGGUCAGGGACAGAUUUCCUCAGUGCAGAGCAGCAGGAGGGGCCAACACACGGUGACAGGAGGGAACAGGCAGAGCGUCCCUGGAGCAUCAGGCCCAGUGCAGACUUGAGACCCACAAGGAAGCCUGGGUGCUUCCCCUGAACUAUUUCAACUUCCCUGCAGGCACGGAGCUUGGGCAAGUCGCGGCAGAAAUAGUUUCUUCUGAUCUGUGCCUGGGCUUCUAAGACAGAACCAGAAUCCUUCAGAGUAGGAAACAGACUUCCUGUUUUCUGAGUCUUCACCCUACCUUGAUUCUCUCGACUUCAUAUCUCAACAGUUCUAUGCUUUCUCUUCUUCGCUCAGUGUUACCUACUUUUCUGCUCCUUUCUUAGCCUCUAGAACACUUUCUCUGUAGUUCCUACUGUGAGUUGCCUAAGUCUGUUGAGUUAAGCCUGUUCAAGACAAGGACUAGGAAUAUAACACAGUAAUGUGUGUAUGGCCUCAAGUCAUCCUCCCAUUUCAUUGGUGCAAAUUCCAGCCUCAGGCAGUCCCAUUUCACCAUCCUGAGGAAUAGGCACCACAGUAAUGUAGUUAGAACCUGGGUAAUUUUUAAGAGAUUUGUAUCAAGACUGAGCAAAACAUCAGUCUUAUUCAAUAGAUCCUAGUAAAAGCGGUGUUGAAAUUACUUAUUAAAUUUCCUGGUAGUUUCAUUGAUACCCUAAGAUUUAAAAAAAACAAAAGCUUCACAUCACUUGCUUUUUCAUCAUAGACAUCUGUCCUUUUUAAUUAAAUGGCCUAUUUGCCACUUGCCACAGAUCCACUCCCAGCCAUCUUUUA